UUGGGCAGUGCGAAACCCAAAGGCGCAGUGAAAGCGAGGAUCCGCUUGCCGGAUCCAGGUGGGAUCCUUCUCCCCCCCGUCCGGGGUGGCGAGGAGGCGCACCACCGGCCCGUCCCGACUGCGUCGGCAGUGGGGCGGAGCAGGAGCGUGCACGCUGGGACCCGAAAGAUGGUGAACUAUGCCUGAGCAGAAGGAAGCCAGAGGAAACUCUGGUGGAAGUUCGUAGCGAUUCUGACGUGCAAAUCGAUCGUCAAACUUGGGUAUAGGG
rnacentral:rRNA from 1 species